GAUGAACGCUAGCGGCGUGCCUAAUACAUGCAAGUCGAGCGAACAGACGAGGAGCUUGCUCCUCUGACGUUAGCGGCGGACGGGUGAGUAACACGUGGAUAACCUACCUAUAAGACUGGGAUAACUUCGGGAAACCGGCGCUAAUACCGGAUAAUAUAUUGAACCGCAUGGUUCAAUAGUGAAAGACGGUUUUGCUGUCACUUAUAGAUGGAUCCGCGCCGCAUUAGCUAGUUGGUAAGGUAACGGCUUACCAAGGCGACGAUGCGUAGCCGACCUGAGAGGGUGAUCGGCCACACUGGAACUGAGACACGGUCCAGACUCCUACGGGAGGCAGCAGUAGGGAAUCUUCCGCAAUGGGCGAAAGCCUGACGGAGCAACGCCGCGUGAGUGAUGAAGGUCUUCGGAUCGUAAAACUCUGUUAUUAGGGAAGAACAAAUGUGUAAGUAACUAUGCACGUCUUGACGGUACCUAAUCAGAAAGCCACGGCUAACUACGUG
rnacentral:rRNA from 1 species